rnacentral:rRNA from 1 species
CAGUCGCCACGGUAAUACGAAGGGGGCUAGCGUUGCUCGGAAUCACUGGGCGUAAAGGGUGCGUAGGCGGGUCUUUAGGUCAGGGGUGAAAUCCUGGAGCUCAACUCCAGAACUGCCUUUGAUACUGAAGAUCUUGAGUUCGGGAGAGGUGAGUGGAACUGCGAGUGUAGAGGUGAAAUUCGUAGAUAUUCGCAAGAACACCAGUGGCGAAGGCGGCUCACUGGCCCGAUACUGACGCUGAGGCACGAAAGCGUGGGGAGCAAACAGGAUUAGAUACCCGGGUAGUCCCUGUCUCUUAUAC